rnacentral:rRNA from 1 species
AGAGUUUGAUCCUGGCUCAGAUUGAACGCUGGCGGCAUGCUUUACACAUGCAAGUCGAACGGCAGCGCGGGGUAACCUGGCGGCGAGUGGCGAACGGGUGAGUAAUAUAUCGGAACGUACCCAAGAGUGGGGGAUAACGUAGCGAAAGUUACGCUAAUACCGCAUACGAUCUAUGGAUGAAGGUGGGGGAUUCGCAAGAACCUCAUGCUCCUGGAGCGGCCGAUAUCUGAUUAGCUAGUUGGUGAGGUAAAGGCUCACCAAGGCGACGAUCAGUAGCUGGUCUGAGAGGACGACCACCCACACUGGAACUGAGACACGGUCCACACUCCUACGGGAGGCAGCAGUGGGGAAUUUUGGACAAUGGGCGCAAGCCUGAUCCAGCAAUGCCGCGUGAGUGAAGAAGGCCUUCGGGUUGUAAAGCUCUUUUGUCAGGGAAGAAACGGUUGAGGCUAAUAUCCUCGGCUAAUGACGGUACCUGAAAAAUAAGCACCGGCUAACUACGUGCCAGCAGCCGCGGUAAUACGUAGGGUGCAAGCGUUAAUCGGAAUUACUGGGCGUAAAGCGUGCGCAGGCGUUUUUUGUAUGUCUGUCGUGAAAGCCCCGGGCUCAACCUGAGAAUUGCGAUGGAGACUGCAACGCUUGAAUCUGGCAGAGGGGGGGUAUAAUUCCACGUGUAGCAGUGAAAUGCGUAGAGAUG